rnacentral:tRNA from 1 species
CAUUAAGAAGCUAUGAACCAGCAUUAGCCUUUUAAGCUAAAGAAAGAGGGACCCCCCCCCCUCUUAAUGA